GUUAAAAAGAUUUAAAAAAUAAAAAGAAAUAAAAUAAUCAGAAAAGAAAGAACUCAAACGAGGUUAUAAACAAACAAGAACAGAAAGAGGACGUAAUAUCUUCGCGGCUGUAAUCACCAGCGAGAUUUCAUUGAACUUUAUUUUGUUGGGAACAUUAGAUUGCAAAAAAUAUUAAAUAUGCGGCUUAGUUUGUUAAGAUUAGCAAGGGUAAAAUAUUACGACAGUACACAGACUAUGCUCAAAGAAGGUGAAAAACUGAUGGAUGAAAAAAGAGGAGAAGGCUUGAUGUCUCUCAUAUUUGUUGGUGUUGUUGGAGCCAUAUUUUAUCUUAGUAGUAAACAUGCUGAACCGCCAAAAAAAGUUGAAUAUUAGAUCGAUGGCAAUGUGAACUUUUGCAUUAAUUUCCAUUUAUAUAUCAAUGCUUGUGUUGGAAAUUAUUUGUAGUAUAUUGAAUAUAAAUUUAUCCUUAUUUCUGUUGUA